GUCCCAAGGGUUCGGCUGUUCGCCGAUUAAAGCGGCACGCGAGCUGGGUUCAGAACGUCGUGAGACAGUUUGGUCUCUAUCCUCUGCGCUCGUUGGAAUCCUGGGGAGGCCUGCCCAUAGUACGAGAGGACCUGGGUGGACGAACCUCUGGUAUGCCGGUUGUCGCGCCAGCGGCACGGCCGGUUGGCUACGUUCGGGAGGGAUAACCGCUGAAAGCAUCUAAGCGGGAAGCCUGCUCCGAGAUUAGGAUUCCUUACGGUCUUGAACCGUUGAAGCCCGCAUGUGGAACACGUGUUUGAUAGGCCGGAGGUGGAAGCCCCGCGAGGGGUGGAGCCGACCGGUACUAACGGGCGACGGCGACACAGC
rnacentral:rRNA from 1 species